CAGCAAGCUCUUGAAAAAUGCAGCUGCAAGC
rnacentral:piRNA from 1 species